CACCGCGGUUAUACGAGGAACUCAAGUUGACAAUCCCUCGGCGUAAAGCGUGGUUAAUCACAUUCGCAAACUAAAGCCGAAAACAUUCACAGCAGUCAUACGCAUGAAAGUAAUAAGCCCACUUACGAAGGUAGCUUUACAAUAUUUUGAACCCACGAAAACUUGGAAA
rnacentral:rRNA from 1 species